UACGUAGGGAGCAAGCGUUGUCCGGAAUCAUUGGGCGUAAAGCGCGCGUAGGUGGCCUCAUAAGUCCGCUGUGAAAGUCAAAGGCUCAACCUUUGAAAGCCGGUGGAUACUGUGAGGCUAGAGUACGGAAGAGGCGAGUGGAAUUCCUGGUGGAGCGGUGAAAUGCGCAGAUAUCAGGAGGAACACCGUAGCGAAGCGGCACUCUGGGCCGAUACUGACACUGAGGUGCGAAAGCGUGGGGAGCAAACAGG
rnacentral:rRNA from 1 species